rnacentral:lncRNA from 1 species
UCAUUUGGUUGUGGUUGUACCUGGGUUACUUCUUGUACUUGUGUGACGCCGUACAAAUACAGGGGAGACUCUGUCCGUGUGAACGUGGAUUCCCUGUGUUUGUGGCGGAUCUGGCAUACUCUCGGGUCAGGCUUUAAAAAAAAAAAAAAAAAAAAAAAAAUUUCAGACGCUUUUCCGCUAUGUUUUUAAACUAAAAGGGACCCCGGGGCGUGACAUAUUAUAUGUGGAAAUGUGUUGUCAAUAUUUUAAUAACUUAAAAAAUUUUUAAAAUUUUGUG